GAUGAACGCUGGCGGCGUGCCUAAUACAUGCAAGUCGAGCGAACAGACGAGGAGCUUGCGCCUUCGACGGUAGCGGCGGACGGGUGAGGAACACGUAGGUAACAUACCUAUAAGACUGGGAUAACUUCGGGAAACCGGAGCUAAGACCGGAUAAUAUUUCGAACCGCAAGGUUCGAGAGUGAAAGAUGGCUUUGCUAUCACUUAUAGAUGGACACGCGCCGUAUUAGCUAGUUGGUAAGGUAACGGCUUACCAAGGCAACGAUAGGUAGCCGACCUGAGAGGGUGGUCGGCCACACUGGAACUGAGCCACGGUCCCGACUCCUACGGGAGGCAGCAGUAGGGAAUCUUCCGCAAUGGGCGAAAGCCUGACGGAGCAACGCCGCGUGAGUGAUGAAGGUCUUCUGAUCGUAAAGCUCUGUUAUUAGGGAAGAACAAACGUGUAAGUAACUGUGCACGUCUUGACGGUACCUAAUCAGAAAGCCACGGCUAACUACGUG
rnacentral:rRNA from 1 species